CCUACGGGGAGCAGCAGUGAGGAAUAUUGGUCAAUGGACGAGAGUCUGAACCAGCCAAGUAGCGUGAAGGAUGACUGCCCUAUGGGUUGUAAACUUCUUUUAUAUGGGAAUAAAAUGUUCCACGUGUGGGUUUUUGUAUGUACCAUAUGAAUAAGGAUCGGCUAACUCCGUGCCAGCAGCCGCGGUAAUACGGAGGAUCCGAGCGUUAUCCGGAUUUAUUGGGUUUAAAGGGAGCGUAGGUGGAUUGUUAAGUCAGUUGUGAAAGUUUGCGGCUCAACCGUAAAAUUGCAGUUGAAACUGGCAGUCUUGAGUACAGUAGAGGUGGGCGGAAUUCGUGGUGUAGCGGUGAAAUGCUUAGAUAUCACGAAGAACUCCGAUUGCGAAGGCAGCUCACUGGACUGCAACUGACACGGAGGCUCGAAAGUGUGGGUAUCAAACAGGAUUAGAUACCCGAGUAGUC
rnacentral:rRNA from 1 species